UACGUAGGGGGCAAGCGUUGUCCGGAUUCACUGGGCGUAAAGAGCUUGUAGGCGGCCAGGUAGGUCGGUUGUGAAAACUGGAGGCUCAACCUUCAGAGGUCGACCGAAACCAUCUGGCUAGAGUUCGGGAGAGGAGAGUGGAAUUCCUGGUGUAGCGGUGAAAUGCGCAGAUAUCAGGAAGAACACCCGUGGCGAAAGCGGCUCUCUGGAACGGUACUGACGCUGAGACGCGAAAGCGUGGGGAGCGAACAGG
rnacentral:rRNA from 1 species